AAACUUCUUUAUCACCGAGUGCUUGCACUCACCGAUAAAGAGUUGAGUGGCGAACGGGUGAGUAACACGUGGGCAACCUGCCCAAAAGAGGGGGAUAACACUUGGAAACAGGUGCUAAUACCGCAUAACCAUAGUUACCGCAUGGUAACUAUGUAAAAGGUGGCUAUGCUACCGCUUUUGGAUGGGCCCGCGGCGCAUUAGCUAGUUGGUGGGGUAAAGGCUUACCAAGGCAAUGAUGCGUAGCCGAACUGAGAGGUUGAUCGGCCACAUUGGGACUGAGACACGGCCCAAACUCCUACGGGAGGCAGCAGUAGGGAAUCUUCCACAAUGGGCGAAAGCCUGAUGGAGCAACGCCGCGUGGGUGAAGAAGGUCUUCGGAUCGUAAAACCCUGUUGUUAGAGAAGAAAGUGCGUGAGAGUAACUGUUCACGUUUCGACGGUAUCUAACCAGAAAGCCACGGCUAACUACGUGCCAGCAGCCGCGGUAAUACGUAGGUGGCAAGCGUUAUCCGGAUUUAUUGGGCGUAAAGGGAACGCAGGCGGUCUUUUAAGUCUGAUGUGAAAGCCUUCGGCUUAACCGGAGUAGUGCAUUGGAAACUGGGAGACUUGAGUGCAGAAGAUGAGAGUGGAACUCCAUGUGUAGCGGUGAAAUGCGUAGAUAUAUGGAAGAACACCAGUGGCGAAAGCGGCUCUCUGGUCUGUAACUGACGCUGAGGUUCGAAAGCGUGGGUAGCAAACAGGAUUAGAUACCCUGGUAGUCCACGCCGUANACGAUGAAUGCUAAGUGUUGGAGGGUUUCCGCCCUUNAGUGCUGCAGCUAAC
rnacentral:rRNA from 1 species